rnacentral:lncRNA from 1 species
CAUACAGCAACACCUUACUGUCCUGGAGAUGACAGGAGUGUCUGUAGGUUCAUACAGCAACACCUUACUGUCCUGGAGAUGACAGGAGUCUCUGUAGGUUCAUACAGCAACACCUUACUGUCCUGGAGAUGACAGGAGUCUCUGUAGGUUCAUACAGCAACACCUUACUGUCCUGGAGAUGACAGGAGUCUCUGUAGGUCCAUACAGCAUCACCUUACUGUCCUGGAGAUGACAGGUCUUUGUUGCCUCAUGGGGGGGGGAGGAUGAAAGGAAGAUUAGAUGAGUGUCAGACUAUUAGCCAGGAGAGGAAGCGGUUUGGAG